UACAGAGGGUGCAAGCGUUGUUCGGAAUUAUUGGGCGUAAAGCGCGUGUAGGCGGCUUUGCAAGUCAGAUGUGAAAGCCCUCGGCUUAACCGAGGAAGUGCGUCUGAAACUGCAGAGCUUGAGUGUCGGAGAGGAUGGCGGAAUUCCGCAAGUAGAGGUGAAAUUCGUAGAUAUGCGGAGGAACACCGGUGGCGAAGGCGGCCAUCUGGACGACUACUGACGCUGAGACGCGAAAGCGUGGGGAGCAAACAGGAUUAGAUACCCUGGUAGUCCACGCUGUAAACGAUGAGAACUAGGUGUCGUGGGUGUUGACCCCCGCGGUGCCGCAGCUAACGCAUUAAGUUCUCCGCCUGGGAAGUACGGCCGCAAGGCUAAA
rnacentral:rRNA from 1 species